UCGGUCCUACGGGAGGCAGCAGUGGGGAAUAUUGCACAAUGGGGGGAACCCUGAUGCAGCGACGCCGCGUGAGUGAAGAAGUAUUUCGGUAUGUAAAGCUCUAUCAGCAGGGAAGAAAAUGACGGUACCUGACUAAGAAGCCCCGGCUAACUACGUGCCAGCAGCCGCGGUAAUACGUAGGGGGCAAGCGUUAUCCGGAUUUACUGGGUGUAAAGGGAGCGUAGACGGCAGUGCAAGUCUGAAGUGAAAGGCGGGGGCCCAACCCCCGGACUGCUUUGGAAACUGUGCUGCUGGAGUGCAGGAGG
rnacentral:rRNA from 1 species